GGUGAACGUUGGCGGCGCGUCUAAUACAUGCAAGUCGAGCGAGGCUUCGAGCCGAGCGGCGGACGGCUGAGUAACACGUUGGUAGCUACCCCGUACUCAGGGAUAACACUGAGAAAUCAGUGCUAAUACCGGAUGGUCCCGAAAGGGUAAAGAUUUAUCGGUACGGGAGGUGCCUGCGGCCUAUCAGCUAGUUGGUGAGGUAAUGGCUCACCAAGGCUAUGACGGGUAAUUGGUCUGAGAGGACGACCAGUCAGAGGGAAACUGAGACACGGUUCCCACUCCUACGGGAGGCAGCAGUAAAGAAUCUUCCGCAAUGGACGCAAGUCUGACGGAGCGACGCCGCGUGCAGGAUGAAGGCCUUCGGGUCGUAAACUGCUUUUCUGAGGGAAUAAUUCUGAAUGUACCUCAGGAAUAAGCACCGGCAAAUCACGUG
rnacentral:rRNA from 1 species